ensembl:misc_RNA 7SK 7SK RNA
GGAUGUGAGAGAGAUCUGGCUGCAACAUCUAUCACCCCAUUGAUCACCAGGGUUGAUUUGGCUGAUAUGGCUGGCUAUGGGUGUCCUCUUCUUCCCUCACUGCUCCAUGUCUGUCCCUCCCAAAGCUGCAUGCUAAGUCCAAGUGGACAACCACCUGCAAUAGAGGAUGACUGUUUCCUUGGUCAAGGGUAUAUAAGUAGCUGUUCUCCUUUGUUAGAACCUCCCAACAAGCUUCCAAGGUCCUGAAGUGGAUAGGAAUAUACAUAUAAUUAUGUAGUAGGUGUCCACCUAUUUCUAAUA